rnacentral:rRNA from 1 species
GACGAACGCUGGCGGCGUGCCUAAUACAUGCAAGUAGAACGCUGAAGGAGGAGCUUGCUUCUCCGGAUGAGUUGCGAACGGGUGAGUAACGCGUAGGUAACCUGCCUGGUAGCGGGGGAUAACUAUUGGAAACGAUAGCUAAUACCGCAUAAGAGUAGAUGUCGCAUGACAUUUGCUUAAAAGGUGCAACUGCACCACUACCAGAUGGACCUGCGUUGUAUUAGCUAGUUGGUGAGGUAACGGCUCACCAAGGCAACGAUACAUAGCCGACCUGAGAGGGUGAUCGGCCACACUGGGACUGAGACACGGCCCAGACUCCUACGGGAGGCAGCAGUAGGGAAUCUUCGGCAAUGGACGCAAGUCUGACCGAGCAACGCCGCGUGAGUGAAGAAGGUUUUCGGAUCGUAAAGCUCUGUUGUAAGAGAAGAACGAGUGUGAGAGUGGAAAGUUCACACUGUGACGGUAUCUUACCAGAAAGGGACGGCUAACUACGUG